rnacentral:lncRNA from 1 species
GCCGCUCGCCGCCUCUUUGUCUGCUCCGGGACUUGGAACAAAAGGGGGAACUCUGAUGAACUCUCUCCUCCCCUCUUCCCCGGACGCCCGGGUAUCUCCCUCUCGCAACUUUGCCGCCGCGACUUUCUCCGCUGUCAGGCCACACAAAAGUGUCCGAGCGCCUCGCGGACAGCAACGAGGGAAAGGUCUCCAAAAAGUGCGACCAAGUGGGGAAGAAGGCGUGAUUACCACUGUCAGCGUCUAGAACGCAUCAUGAGUACGCUGAGUUCCUCUGUACUGCAUUGUUCUUAAGGAUCAGUGAUCUUUAUGGACGUACAAUACAACAUCGAGUCAUUCCUGGAUGAAAAGUUAUCAAACUUCGUCCUUUGGAGUUACUUAAAAGUUAAGAUGUUGGAAUUUUUGAUAAUGCCUUCCCUAUGUGGAUUACUACAAUUUGAUCCCUGGGAAUUCUCCACCUUAAAGAAGUACUCUCAGGGGACUACAGAAGCGUCCACACCAUGCAUGUUCAGAAAUGCUGUGAGGACAGAAAUAUUAUGUUCUUAUAAAGGAGAAAGCAGAAGCUCAGAUUUCAAGGACUUGGGCCCAAACGGCGUUCAACUGGAAAGCUGGCACGUAACACUGCAGUGCUGAUCUUGGGGGACCUGUAGAGAACAACAUCAAGUGCAGGAAUGCCACGUUCCCAGGAGAUGUGCCAUCUGACU